UGAGAUGUGAGAUUUGGGAUGCAGGAUGUGAGAUAUGGGAUGCAGGAUGUGGGAUUUGAUAUUUGGGAUGCAGGAUGUGAGAUUUGGGAUGCAGGAUGUGAGAUGUGAGAUUUGGGAUGCAGGAUGUGAGAUUUGGGAUGCAGGAUGUGGGAUUUGGGAUGCAGGAUGGGAGAUUUGGGAUGCAGGAUGUGGGCUGCAGGCUGCAGGCUGCUCCAUGCGUGAUGCAGGAUGCGGGGCUGAUUGCAAUUGCAAGCAGCAUCUGAGCCCCAGCUCUUCCCCCCCCCCGUCCCCCCCUUCCCAAACGCAGCCUUGGAUGGGAUCAGAGACUUAACAGCCCGUGCCAGACAGGCACUUCAACAAGCAAUAAAUCUGGAGUUCGUUAGCAAAGAUUAAUUGGUGUUUGCACAAGGCUUUGGCUGAGUGCAGAGCAGCAGACGGGAGCCGGAGCAGCGCUGUCUGCCUCGGAGCUUUGCAGUGCAGGAGGGAUUUGCUGCGUGCAUCCUAACCCUGCUACUUUGCAUGCUCCUCCACGGGCCUUUUGCAACCAGGGUGCAGCAAGGAAUCGGGGUGCAGCAAGUGCUUGGGGUUGCAGGAUGCAACUGGGGUGCAAGAAGCAGCUGGGAUUGCAAGAAGCAACCAGGGUGCAGCAUGCAACAGUCGUGCAACAAGCAGCUGUGGGUUGCAAGAAGCAACCAGGGUGCAGUAAGCAACAGUCGUGCAACAAGCAGCUGGGGUUGCAGGAAGCAACCAGGGUGCAGCAUGCAACUGGAUUGCAGGAAGCAACCAGGGUGCAGCAAGCAGCUGGGAUUGCAAGAAGCAACCUGGGUGCAGCAUGCAACUGUCAUGCACCAAGCAGCUGGGGUUGCUGGAAGCAACCAGGGUGCAGGAUGCAGCUGGGGUUGCAGCAAGCAGCCCGUUGCUUUGCAGGGAGUGCUGCUCGGUGCCUGGGGUUGCACGCUGCAGGCGUUCCCCUGCAUGCAUUUAUUGUGUGCUGCAGGGAAUGCUUGCUGGCAGCGGGGCUGCAAUCAGCAAAUGGAGCUGGCCGCCUGCCUCGUUAGGAGCUAAUUGGGAAGGGGUGGCAGCAGCUCGGUGUCACAGGGGGUCCUUUGGUGUCCUCCGGUGCCCUCGUCUGCAUCAGCAAAGGAGGUGGGGUGGGGGGGGGUCCCAACAGCUCUGUGCAGACCCCAGGGUGGCUGCAUCUUUGCAACCCCUCCCC
rnacentral:lncRNA from 1 species